rnacentral:rRNA from 1 species
UGCCAGUGAUAAACUGGAGGAAGGUGGGGAUGACGUCAAGUCAUCAUGGCCCUUACGACCAGGGCUACACACGUGCUACAAUGGCGCAUACAAAGAGAAGCGACCUCGCGAGAGCAAGCGGACCUCAUAAAGUGCGUCGUAGUCCGGAUUGGAGUCUGCAACUCGACUCCAUGAAGUCGGAAUCGCUAGUAAUCGUGGAUCAGAAUGCCACGGUGAAUACGUUCCCGGGCCUUGUACACACCGCCCGUCACACCAUGGGAGUGGGUUGCAAAAGAAGUAGGUAGCUUAACCUUCGGGAGGGCGCUUACCACUUUGUGAUUCAUGACUGGGGUGAAGUCGUAACAAGGUAACCGUAGGGGAACCUGCGGUUGGAU